CCUACGGGAGGCAGCAGUGGGGAAUUUUGGACAAUGGGCGCAAGCCUGAUCCAGCCAUGCCGCGUGCGGGAAGAAGGCCUUCGGGUUGUAAACCGCUUUUGUCAGGGAAGAAAAGGUUCUGGUUAAUACCUGGGACUCAUGACGGUACCUGAAGAAUAAGCACCGGCUAACUACGUGCCAGCAGCCGCGGUAAUACGUAGGGUGCAAGCGUUAAUCGGAAUUACUGGGCGUAAAGCGUGCGCAGGCGGUUAUGCAAGACAGAGGUGAAAUCCCCGGGCUCAACCUGGGAACUGCCUUUGUGACUGCAUAGCUAGAGUACGGUAGAGGGGGAUGGAAUUCCGCGUGUAGCAGUGAAAUGCGUAGAUAUGCGGAGGAACACCGAUGGCGAAGGCAAUCCCCUGGACCUGUACUGACGCUCAUGCACGAAAGCGUGGGGAGCAAACAGGAUUAGAUACCCUGGUAGUCCACGCCCUAAACGAUGUCAACUGGUUGUUGGGAGGGUUUCUUCUCAGUAACGUAGCUAACGCGUGAAGUUGACCGCCUGGGGAGGACGGCGCGAAGGUAGUAACGUUACAAGUAGUUAGUUAGAGNGNGAGNGNGACGACGACGACGACGGAGGAGGAG
rnacentral:rRNA from 1 species